rnacentral:rRNA from 1 species
AUUGAACGCUGGCGGCAUGCCUUACACAUGCAAGUCGAACGGCAGCACGGGUGCUUGCACCUGGUGGCGAGUGGCGAACGGGUGAGUAAUACAUCGGAACAUGUCCUGUAGUGGGGGAUAGCCCGGCGGAAGCCGGAUUAAUACCGCAUACGAACUACGGAUGAAAGCGGGGGACCUUCGGGCCUCGCGCUAUAGGGUUGGCCGAUGGCGUAUUAGCUAGUUGGGGGGGUAAAGGCCUACCAAGGCGACGAUCAGUAGCUGGUCUGAGAGGACGAUCAGCCACACUGGGAGUGAGACACGGACCAGACUCCUACGGGAGGCAGCAGUGGGGAAUUUUGGGCAAUGGGCGAAAGCCUGAUCCAGCAAUGCCGCGUGUGUGAAGAAGGCCUUCGGGUCGUAAAGCACUUUUGUCCGGAAAGAACUCCUUUGGCCUAAUACGGUCGGGGGAUGACGGUACCGGAAGAAGAAGCACCGGCUAACUACGUG